GUUAACAGUCAGACUGCAUCUCAGCCCUGUCAAGAUGGAUCUUCAUAAUAGGUGAUGAAUAGUUUUAUUUGGGGGAUAUAUUAACUUUUAGUUUUGGGAAAAAGUUUUAGAUUGGUUUGCCAGUUUGUAACCCACCAAGUUGAGACCAAUAGAUAUACAUUAGCAAACUCCGUACCCAUCAAAUAAUCAACUUUAUGUGUGAUUUUGGGAUGGAUUCAUACGACCACAUUUCCUUUCUCAAGAAAGGUUGGAAGGGAGGUAAUUUGAAUGGCUAUUGCUCUCUGCUCCCUGCUGUCAGGGUGCUGUUAGUGGCUCCUGGCUGGUUCCCCAGAAUAGUAUAAAGACAAGGAAAAGUUUCAUACAGUCCUUUUUUAUUUCAAACUUUACAGGGAGAAGCUAUAGAACUCAGCCUCUUGGAUAAUGGCAUUGUCCUGAGUGAAUCUCCACCACCUGUCUCUCCCACUUCCUCAUUCGUCAACCUCAUCACUUCCUCUAUGCGUGUCACUAAAUGCCCUCUGUCUUCGAGCUCUUUGCUCUUCUACUUUUAAGGCUUGCUGGGUUCUGGGAGAUGGUGGGUCUGGAAUGCUGUCCCAUGAUUUCCCAACUUUCCCCCUCAUCUGCCUCUGAUCUGCCACCUCCCUCAAACCUCUGUUGUAAAUCUAUACUGUCUUCCUCUUCCUUCUCCCUGGAAGGGUCAGGAUGGGGAGGUGGUCUCCACCGUUUCUCUUCUGACCAGUCCCUGACAUCUAAGUCCACCUCUGAUGGGACACUCUUCCCGCUGAGACUCAUCACAGGCAAUCAUUAAAUCUUUCUGGAAGUGUUGCAAGAUCGUGUCUGGCCUGCCUUGCAGUAUCUGUAUAUCUGUAUAGUUUCAGUUUUUAAGGGUUUAUUUAUAGGGCCAAACUAAAUGUGAGGAUGACCACACAAUGAGCGGUUGUUUAAUUUUAACAAACAGCAGCUGGACUGGGGUAGCAGGAAGGAGCCAUUUCACCCUUUGAACCCGCCAUGUUCCUAAUCAAAUCUUCUUUUUGCUUGGGGAGGAACACAUUUUCAAGAAACAGUUGCAGGGGCCCCCUGCUGCAGCC